rnacentral:rRNA from 1 species
UCUUGGUCAUUUAGAGGAAGUAAAAGUCGUAACAAGGUUUCCGUAGGUGAACCUGCGGAAGGAUCAUUAUUGAAACUCACGGGGGCGCGUGCUAAGACCUGCACCGGUGGCGACGCCGUGCUGCGGUCUGGCUUGCGUCCUCUUCCAAACCCAAACACCUGUGAACCUUUGGGAUGGCGUGCUGUAACGGCCGUCGUCCCGUUUAACACCAACUCUGAUGUCUAUUUGAAUGUGACUCGGGGCCUCCCCGAUUUAAACUUAAAACAACUUUCAACAACGGAUCUCUUGGCUCUCGCAUCGAUGAAGAACGCAGCGAAAUGCGAUAAGUAAUGUGAAUUGCAGAAUUCAGUGAAUCAUCGAAUCUUUGAACGCACCUUGCGCUCCUUGGUAUUCCGAGGAGCAUGCCCGUUUGAGUGUCUUGAAAUCAUCAAACCCCUCUGGUUUCUGCUGGAGCGGGUUUGGACUUGGGGGUUUUGCUGCCUCUGGCGGCUCCCCUUAAAUGAAUCGGUCGGGCUUUCGUGUGGCUUGUCCCUUGGCGUUGUAUCAACCUCGUCGCUGGAUGGCUCGCGAGCUUUAGCGCCCCUCCAAGACCAGCCUCUGGAGUGGCGGUCAACUUCAAUUUGUGAUCUGACCUCAAAUCAGGUAGGACUACCCGCUGAACUUAAGCAUAUCAAUAAGCGGAGGA